GACGGAGGAUGCAAGCGUUAUCCGGAAUUAUUGGGCGUAAAGCGUCCGCAGGUGGCACUUCAAGUCUGUCGUCAAAGACUGGGGCUUAACCCUGGAAAGGCGGUGGAAACUGAAGCGCUAGAGUGCGGUAGGGGUAGAGGGAAUUCCCGGUGUAGCGGUGAAAUGCGUAGAGAUCGGGAAGAACAUCGGUGGCGAAAGCGCUCUACUGGACCGAAACUGACACUCAGGGACGAAAGCUAGGGGAGCGAAUGGG
rnacentral:rRNA from 1 species